rnacentral:tRNA from 2 species
GUCAGGAUGGCCGAGUGGUCUAAGGCGCCAGACUCAAGGAUUUGCUUUCCUUGCCCCUAAUAAGGGUUCGAGAUUUCUGGUCCACAAUUGUGGGCGUGGGUUCGAACCCCACUCCUGACA